UACAGAGGUCUCGAGCGUUGUUCGGAUUCAUUGGGCGUAAAGGGUGCGUAGGCGGCGAGGUAAGUCGGAUGUGAAAUCCCGGGGCUCAACCCCGGAACUGCAUUCGAUACUGCCCCGCUUGAGGACUGGAGAGGAGACUGGAAUUCACGGUGUAGCAGUGAUAUGCGUAGAUAUCGUGAGGAAGACCGGUGGCGAAGGCGGGUCUCUGGACAGUUCCUGACGCUGAGGCACGAAAGCGUGGGGAGCAAACAGG
rnacentral:rRNA from 1 species